UGUUUUUAUUUUGAUGUGAAGAGACGAGAAUGAAGGCUGGGAGUGAAAGUGCUGGUAUGGUUGCCUCACUUUUCCGAUCCAAAGGUCACGCUUAUAAUAAAGCUCUAUAAAUUAUUGAUUAUGUUUUAAAUUUAUACCAUUUAAUUUAAUUUGUGAUGUGUCAAUUUUAGACAAAUAGUAUUUAUGACCAUUAGUUCAUUCCAUUACAUUAAGAUGAGAUUUGAUUUUCCAGGUGAGAUUUGGGAAACUUAUGAUAUUAUUUCUUCAUUAUAAUACAGAUUUCUAAUGAAGAGGUUAAGCAUCUUAAUUUAUUAUUACACUUUACUUUUAAUUCAAUUAUUAUAUUGUUUCACUUUUAGGAGUUAAUUCUUAUUACAAUUUACUAUACAUUUUUUAUAACAAGAUAAAUUAUCUUUAUUUUUCUUAUAAACCUUGCAGUUUUAACUAUAAUAUUAUGACUCUUUCUAUAACUUGGUUUCUCAUUAUCUUAGGUCAUUUAAUUGGAUUUAACACUAGCUAUUAAACUAUUCAUCAAUACAAGAGUUGAAGAUUCUCGGUUUGGGGUUUAGAGCCACACUUUGAUGAUAAAAGGCUAGUUGGUGGAGCUUCAAACAUUGGAAAAGAGAGAAAAAGAGUCUCAAGAGCUAACGAAAAUAGGAAAAGAAAACAAAGGCCAAGGUCGGGGCAAAGUGAUGGUAUUGGAGCAGUUUGCUUUGACAACUAUUGACACGGUGAUAGCUUUUUACCCUAUAACAUUUCACAUUAUGCGAAACUGAGCAAUGGACUAGACAUCAUGUUUGGAAAAGAAUAGCGCAAGGCGACAUCUUUUUCUAUCUAGAGAAGAUAUUGUAGUUGUUGUAAACAUCUUUCUCUGCCUUUAGACUUUGAUAUUUUACCAUUUUGGACAGAUAUUUUAUUUAUUCAUUCAAGUAUAGGAUCCUUAUA